rnacentral:rRNA from 1 species
GAUGAACGCUAGCGGCAGGCUUAAUACAUGCAAGUCGUGGGGCAGCAUGAAGUAGCAAUACUUUGAUGGCGACCGGCAAACGGGUGCGGAACACGUACACAACCUUCCUUUUAGUGGGGACUAGCCCAGAGAAAUUUGGAUUAAUACCCCGUAACAUAGCGAUGUGGCAUCACAUUGCUAUUAUACCUGCGGCGCUAGAUGAUGGGUGUGCGUAUGAUUAGAUAGUUGGAGAGGUAACGGCUCACCAAGUCUACGAUCAUUAGCUGAUGUGAGCGCAGGAUCAGCAGCACGGGACAUGAGACACGGUCCCGACUCCUAAGGGAGGCAGCAGUAAGGAAUAUUGGUCAAUGGACGAAAGUCUGAGCCAGCCAUGCCGCGUGAAGGAUUAAGGUCCUCUGGAUUGUAAACUUCUUUUAUAUGGGACGAAAAAAUGUCUUUCUAGAUCACUUGACGGUACAAUAUGAAUAAGCACCGGCUAACUCCGUGCCAGCCGCCGCAGUAAUAC